GUCACAUUCAUCUUUCACGGAUUAAACUUUCUUUACAUUAAGAAGUCAAGAUUCAGGGACUCUGGAGACUCUGGAAAUGAACUCUUUUUCAGGACCAGUGAUUCUACUAUUCUUAAUGAUUGGACGAGUCAGUGGAGACUCAGUGACCCAGACAGAAGGCCAAGUGACCCUCUUUGAAAGGGGUUCCCUAACUGUGAAUUGUUCCUAUGAAACCCAGCAGUAUGCAAGCCUAUUUUGGUAUGUCCAGUACCCUGGAGAAGGUCCACAACUCCUCCUAAAAGCCAUUACAGCUAAUGAACAGGCAAGAAACAGAGGUUUUGAAGCUACAUAUGAUAAAGCCGCCAGCUCCUUCCACUUGGAGAAAGCCUCAGUGGAAGCGUCAGACUCGGCUGUGUACUACUGUGCUCUGGGUGACACAGUGGCAGGAACUGCAGGGGGAGCCGAGCACAAACUUUAAGCAGCAACCAGGGUCCUUAGUGCUGAGAGUCUGCCUCUAGGAUCCACUGUGGUUUAGGGACCAGGAACUAAUCCAUUAUUUUUACCUCCC